GGCAGCGGCGCCGGGCGGGGGCUGCGUUUCGCCGCCGCGGAAUGGCUCCACCCGCUGCUGCCCGGUGUGGGGCCUGUCCCAGUGUGUUUUUGCGGCAGAGCGUCAGUCGCACUGACAAAUUCACACCUGAGUGACGGAAGUUUCCUCGUUAGCAGCUCAGCUCCGUAAUUUAAUGGUUGCACACCCUCUGCAGAAAGCGCUGAGGCGCCGGCUCACGCCAUCAGGCGCUGGCCGUUGCCCCUUCGUGGCCACCCGACCCCUGCCCCCGCACCUUGUGCUGCCUGACUCGCAGCUACCGAGAUCUGAGAGAACGAACACACCCAAGGGAAACACUGACGGCCUCCACCCACGCUUUGGUGUUUGGGUAUGCAUGGGAGAGCUGGUGAUUUCUGAGGAACAUUUGGGACAUAGAGGAGCAUUUCAUGUGAAGGAGCAAGGACAAAAAGGUGGUGUUAAGGUUUCAUCUACUGUUUUCCUCCAUCAAAGGAUAUUUUUAUACAUCUUUACAUGGCAGAUAUAUUCUACAGGAUUAUUCCACAUCAGUGAGGAAAUAGUCACUUUCCAGGCCACAAAAGUGAAAAAGUUGUCAAUUAACUCAUUUCUAUUCCUGCAAACAAGAAAAAGUGCUCAACAGAGAACUUGGCUUUACUGAGUAAUUUGAGAAGUCCACUUUAGUCUAGAGGUGUAAUUGUUUCUAUUUUUAGAAAAAAGUAUUUAAAAUAUUUUACUUUCUUGGAGAAAAGUAAAAAUGCAUCACUUCUGUUUAACCAUGCUAUUAGCAGUGUAGCAGAGUAUACAUCUGAGCAUCAUGAUAACAUUGAUUCACCCGAUUUCCAUUAAUAUAUUUCUAACUGCUGUGAUUAAACAGUAUACAUUCAGAUUAAACAGGCACACAGCUCAGGUGAGAUUCAGAUAUUCAGUGAAUUUUGACACUGGGAUAUAAAUUAGACAAAAUUUGUAGAAAAGGUGAUACUUUUAAUUAGAUCAACUGAUAGAAAUGGAGAAAACUUGACUGACAUCAUUAAUGAGAAUGGAGAAGGAGGAAAAUCCAAACUAAAUAUAAUUGGCAUGUAUUGCUUUUAGUGUAAUAAAUUAUUUUAAUCAAUUAAACCUCUGGUGAGA
rnacentral:lncRNA from 1 species